CCUCAAAUCAGGUAGGACUACCCGCUGAACUUAAGCAUAUCAAUAAGCGGAGGAAAAGAAACUAACAAGGAUUCCCCUAGUAACUGCGAGUGAAGCGGGAAAAGCUCAAAUUUGAAAUCUGGCGGUUUCUGCCGUCCGAGUUGUAUUCUGGGGAAGCGUUUUCCGUGCUGGACCGUGUACAAGUGCCUUGGAACAGGCCGUCAUAGAGGGUGAGAAUCCCGUCUUUGACACGGACUGCCAGUGCUCUGUGAUGCGCUCUCGAAGAGUCGAGUUGUUUGGGAAUGCAGCUCAAAAUGGGUGGUAAAUUCCAUCUAAAGCUAAAUAUUGGCGAGAGACCGAUAGCGAACAAGUACCGUGAGGGAAAGAUGAAAAGCACUUUGGAAAGAGAGUAAAACAGUACGUGAAAUUGUUGAAAGGGAAACGCUUGAAGUCAGUCGCGUCUUCUGGAACUCAGCCUUGCUUCUGCUUGGUGCACUUUCCAGUCUGACGGGCCAGCAUCGGUUUUGGUGGGGCAGACAAAGGCGGGGGGAAGGUGGCCGCUCUGGCGGUGUUAUAGCCCCCCGUUGCAUGUGUCCCCUGGGACCGAGGAAUCCGGCGCAAGCCUGGAUGCUGGCGUAAU
rnacentral:rRNA from 1 species